rnacentral:rRNA from 1 species
UACGGAGGAGGCAAGCGUUAUCCGGAAUUAUUGGGCGUAAAGCGUCCGUAGGUGGCUCUUCAAGUCUGCUGUCAAAGAGUGGGGCUUAACCCUGCAAAGGCAGUGGAAACUGAAAGGCUAGAGAGCCGUAGGGGUAGAGGGAAUUCCCGGUGUAGCGGUGAAAUGCGCAGAUAUCAGGAGGAACACCGGUGGCGAAGGCGGGUCUCUGGGCCGUAACUGACGCUGAGGAGCGAAAGCAUGGGGAGCGAACAGG